rnacentral:misc_RNA from 1 species
GAUGAAGAACGUAGUGAAAUGCGAUAAGUAAUGUGAAUUGCAGAACUCAGUGAAUCAUCGAAUCUUUGAACGCACAUUGCGCCCCCUGGUAUUCCGGGGGGCAUGCCUGUCCGAGCGUCAUUACAACCCUCAAGCUCAGCUUGGUGUUGGGCCCCGCCGCCCCGGCGGGCCCUAAAGUCAGUGGCGGUGCCGUCCGGCUCCGAGCGUAGUAAUUCUUCUCGCUCUGGAGGUCCGGUCGUGUGCUCGCCAGCAACCCCCAAUUUUUUUCAGGUUGACCUCGGAUCAGGUAGGGAUACCCGCUGAACUUAAGCAUAUCAAUAAGCGGAGGA